GCGGUCGCAGGGUAAUGACGUCGGCCGUAUCGGGGAUGCUGGAACCUGCGGUUGAGUGAGAAACCGGCGCCACCGCCUGCGUCUUGGUCUCGGGCUGGUGGCCAGCGGGGUCUGGGCUGUGGUUUUACCCAGCUCCUUUGCGAAGCUGCUGUCCUUUCCUCAACGUUACCACCCGGCUGGGCAGCCUACCCUCGCAGCAACAGGUGUGCACCUUCCAAGCUUGCAACAGACCACAUUCAGAAGCUUGAUUUCCUGUUGUUCUGGGAAUAUCUGGAUCAGAGGUAACAUGGUUCACUAGGACUCCUCAGCUUCACCCAGUGUCCAUUUCACCUCCCCCGGCCUUCCAAUGUCUCUUCUUGCAGAUUUCUCCAAGCCACUCUCCCCUUCAUCUCCUCCACCCCCAGGACCCAACUCCUGCCCCUCCCACCCUAGCCCCUGUUCUCCCUGCCCAUCUCCUACCCCACUGGAGUGGCCUUUCAUCAAACCUAAACCAAAGAAACCAACAGACCUUGCUGUCACCACUACUCCGGGACCUGGAAGUUAAAGCGAGGGAGAGACGGUGAAACACAGAAAGCAGAACGCCUUCUGUUCUUCCACAACACAGGGUUUGUGGACGUGGCCACUAUAAGAACUCGCACUGCGUGCUGAUUAUACUCCUCAGCACAAUUCAUUUCUUAAACUUUUUAGAAUAAUUUAAAAUUUACAAAAAGUUGCAAAAAUAAAA
rnacentral:lncRNA from 1 species